ACGAACGCUGGCGGCGUGCUUAACACAUGCCAGUCGAACGGGAAGGCCCCUUUGGGGGUACUCGAGUGGCGAACGGGUGAGUAACACGUGAGUAACCUGCCCUUGACUUCGGGAUAACUUCAGGAAACUGGGGCUAAUACCGGAUAGGAAUCCUUGCUGCAUGGUGGGGGUUGGAAAGCUUCGGCGGUUUUGGAUGGACUCGCGGCUUAUCAGCUUGUUGGUGGGGUAGUGGCUUACCAAGGCUUUGACGGGUAGCCGGCCUGAGAGGGCGACCGGCCACAUUGGGACUGAGAUACGGCCCAGACUCCUACGGGAGGCAGCAGUGGGGAAUAUUGCACAAUGGGCGGAAGCCUGAUGCAGCAACGCCGCGUGCGGGAUGACAGCCUUCGGGUUGUAAACCGCUUUCAGCAGGGGCGAAGCUUUUGUGACGGUACCUGCAGAAGAAGCACCGGCUAACUACGUG
rnacentral:rRNA from 1 species